AUUCUGUUUCAGGGCGAGGUGGAAAUCCUCACUGGCGGUAAGCACGGCGGCGCAUCCGAGCGCUUCCGGCAAGCCCGCGACCCUGCGAAGCCCAUGCGGCUUCCAGGCUGACCCGGUGAAAAUCCGGGGCCAACGGUUACAGUCCGGAUGGAAGAGGCAGAUG
rnacentral:ncRNA from 2 species